rnacentral:rRNA from 1 species
UGUUGGUGGGGUAAUGGCUCACCAAGGCGACGACGGGUAGCCGGCCUGAGAGGGUGACCGGCCACACUGGGACUGAGACACGGCCCAGACUCCUACGGGAGGCAGCAGUGGGGAAUAUUGCACAAUGGGCGGAAGCCUGAUGCAGCGACGCCGCGUGAGGGAUGACGGCCUUCGGGUUGUAAACCUCUUUCAGUAGGGAAGAAGCGAGAGUGACGGUACCUGCAGAAGAAGCGCCGGCUAACUACGUGCCAGCAGCCGCGGUAAUACGUAGGGCGCAAGCGUUGUCCGGAAUUAUUGGGCGUAAAGAGCUCGUAGGCGGUUUGUCGCGUCUGCUGUGAAAGCCCGGGGCUCAACCCCGGGUCUGCAGUGGGUACGGGCAGACUAGAGUGCAGUAGGGGAGACUGGAAUUCCUGGUGUAGCGGUGAAAUGCGCAGAUAUCAGGAGGAACACCGAUGGCGAAGGCAGGUCUCUGGGCUGUUACUGACGCUGAGGAGCGAAAGCAUGGGGAGCGAA